ensembl:lncRNA
ACUGAGUCUCCGGAAGCCCCUCUGGACUUGGAGCUCCUCAACGCCUCCAUCCCCACCUGGAGCGAAGUCCCGGCUCCGGAGGCUGGAGGUCCUCGGCGCGUCACGGGGAGGUCCCGGGCCGCCCGGGCAGUGACGGAGCUCGGACCCCUCUGCGUGCUCGAGGAUCCAGGCAGCUGUGAUGUCCUUGCUGUCGCCGCCCCAGUCCGCCGCGCACCAGCUCUGGGGGUGCCGGCCGCGCGCAGCUGCCCGAUUUCUCCUCGCUUCUUGGCUUCCAGGAGGGUCCAGCAGCCCAGGGCUAUGACUAAGGCGCUCACUUGAUCGCAGAGGUGGCGCGGAGCCCGGCGAGCCGAUGACGGACCCCUUCCUCCUGUCUUCAGUGCCUCAACGGAAGAUCCUCAAGGGCUGGAGAGAGAAGGGCUGCUGCUGGACACCCUCCCGGGGAGGCUGCUCCCACCUGCCGCUCGUGGUGUACGAGACUGGGGACUGAGCGAGCCCCAGCCGUCGCUGCCGUCGGUCGGACCGGCCCCCGCCCCGCUCUGCUCGGCCCGCCUCCC